rnacentral:rRNA from 1 species
UUGAAAGGGAAACGAUUGAAGUCAGUCAUGCUAGUGAAAAAUCAGUUUGACGGGUUUUGAGUUCUUGAGUAGAGGCAGGGUCAAACCGUUUCUCUUUUUGGACUCUUGAUAUGUUAGAUAUACUUNNUUUUUGGCAGGUCAACGUCGGUUUCGGGGGUUGUAAAAUACUUGGGGGAAAGUAGCUCUGCUUCGGGAGAGUGUUAUAGACCCUGGGAGAUGCAGCCUGUGGGAUCGAGGAUUGCAGCAAAUGCCUUUUGGCUUGUCGCCUGUUCCUGGGUGUUACCUGUCUUGUGACAACAUUCUUGCCACCGGGGAGUACUAAUGCCUACUGUUUAGAGCGAUCGAAAAUUUCGUUAAGGAUGUUGACGUA